rnacentral:rRNA from 1 species
UACGGAGGGUGCAAGCGUUAUCCGGAUUUACUGGGUUUAAAGGGUGUGUAGGCGGGCAUUUAAGUCUGGGGUGAAAUCUCCGAGCUCAACUCGGAAACUGCCUUGGAUACUAUUUGUCUUGAAUUAUGUUGAGGUUGGCGGAAUAUAACAUGUAGCGGUGAAAUGCAUAGAUAUGUUAUAGAACACCGAUUGCGAAGGCAGCUAACUAAGCAUAUAUUGACGCUGAGGCACGAACGCGUGGGGAUCAAACAGG